GAUGAACGCUAGCGGCGUGCCUAACACAUGCAAGUCGAGGGAGGAGCCUUGGGGCUUCGUCCGGCGUACUGGUGCGUGACGCGUAGACAAUCUGCCUGUCACAUAGGGUUAGCGCGUAGAAUUAUGGAGUAAUACCGAAGGUUAUAUAGGUUUGGCAUCAGCUUUAUAUUAAUGCUGAGGCAGUGAAGGUUUAGUAUGCGUUCUAUUAGCUAGUUGGAGAGGUAACGGCUACGCAAGGCGACGAUAGUGAGGGGGUCUGAGAGGGAUACCCGCCACACGGGUACUGCGAUACAGACUAGAAUGCUACGGGAGGCAGGAGUGAGGAAUAUUGGACACUGGUCGGUAGAGUGAUACAGCCAUGCGGGGUGCAGGAAGACGGCCAUCUGAGUUGUAAACUGCUUUUGAAGGAGAAGAAUAAAGACUACGCGUAGUUUGAUGACGGUACUUUGCCAAUAAGCAUCGGCUAACUACGUG
rnacentral:rRNA from 1 species